UGACACGUUUAUUAUAAAACGGGGCAGGCGAACUAUAGGUCAAGGGCAGGCAGAGGUCUGUAAUCCAGGGCCGUGUCAAAGGUUACAGAACGACAGGCUCAGGGUCAGGGCAAGCAGAGGUCUGUAAUCCAGGGCCGUGUCAAAGGUUACAGAACGACAGGCUCAGGGUCAGGGCAGGCAGAGGUCUGUAAUCCAGGGCCGUGUCAAAGGUUACAGAACGACAGGCUCAGGGUCAGGGCAGGCAGAGGUCUGUAAUCCAGGGCCGUGUCAAAGGUUACAGAACGACAGGCUCAGGGUCAGGGCAGGCAGAGGUCUGUAAUCCAGGGCCGUGUCAAAGGUUACAGAACGACAGGCUCAGGGUCAGGGCAGGCAGAGGUCUGUAAUCCAGGGCCGUGUCAAAGGUUACAGAACGACAGGCUCAGGGUCAGGGCAGGCAGAGGUCUGUAAUCCAGGGCCGUGUCAAAGGUUACAGAACGACAGGCUCAGGGUCAGGGCAGGCAGAGGUCUGUAAUCCAGGGCCGUGUCAAAGGUUACAGAACGACAGGCUCAGGGUCAGGGCAGGCAGAGGUCUGUAAUCCAGGGCUGUGUCAAAGGUUACAGAACGACAGGCUCAGGGUCAGGGCACGCAGAGGUCAGUAAUCCAGGGCCGUGUCAAAGGUUACAGAACGACAGGCUCAGGGUCAGGGCAGGCAGAGGUCUGUAAUCCAGGGCCGUGUCAAAGGUUACAGAACGACAGGCUCAGGGUCAGGGCAGGCAGAGGUCUGUAAUCCAGGGCCGUGUCAAAGGUUACAGAACGACAGGCUCAGGGUCAGGGCAGGCAGAGGUCUGUAAUCCAGGGCCGUGUCAAAGGUUACAGAACGACACCACCUGUAAUAAUAUCAUGUUAUUCACCACCCCCUCCUGUAAUAAUAUCAUGUUAUUCACCACCCCUCCUGUAAUAAUAUCAUGUUAUUCACCACCCCUCCUGUAUUAAUAUCAUGUUAUUCACCACCCCCUCCUGUAAUAAUAUCAUGUUAUUCACCCCCCCUCCUGUAGUAAUAUCAUGUUAUUCACCACCCCCUCCUGUAAUAAUAUCAUGUUAUUCACCACCCCCUCCUGUAUUAAUAUCAUGUUAUUCACCACC